rnacentral:rRNA from 1 species
UGGGGAAUUUUGCACAAUGGGGGAAACCCUGAUGCAGCGACGCCGCGUGAUUUAGAAGGCCUUCGGGUUGUAAAAAUCUUUUUUACGGGAUGAAAAUGACAGUACCGUAAGAAUAAGGUCCGGCUAAAUACGUGCCAGCAGCCGCGGUAAUACGUAUGGACCGAGCGUUGUCCGGAAUCAUUGGGCGUAAAGGGUACGUAGGCGGCCUAGUAAGUUAGAAGUUAAAGAAUAUAGCUCAACUGUAUAAAGCUUUUAAAACUGCUAGGCUUGAGAGAUGGAAGGGAAAGUGGAAUUCCUAGUGUAGCGGUGAAAUGCGCAGAUAUUAGGAAGAAUACCGGUGGCGAAGGCGACUUUCUGGUCAUCAUCUGACGCUGAGGUACGAAAGCGUGGGUAGCAAACAGG